rnacentral:rRNA from 1 species
CUGCGGCAGCGACGCUUAUGCGUUGUUGGGUAGGGGAGCGUUCUGUAAGCCUGUGAAGGUGUACUGUGAGGUAUGCUGGAGGUAUCAGAAGUGCGAAUGCUGACAUAAGUAACGAUAAAGCGGGUGAAAAGCCCGCUCGCCGGAAGACCAAGGGUUCCUGUCCAACGUUAAUCGGGGCAGGGUGAGUCGACCCCUAAGGCGAGGCCGAAAGGCGUAGUCGAUGGGAAACAGGUUAAUAUUCCUGUACUUGGUGUUACUGCGAAGGGGGGACGGAGAAGGCUAUGUUGGCCGGGCGACGGUUGUCCCGGUUUAAGCGUGUAGGCUGGUUUUCCAGGCAAAUCCGGAAAAUCAAGGCUGAGGCGUGAUGACGAGGCACUACGGUGCUGAAGCAACAAAUGCCCUGCUUCCAGGAAAAGCCUCUAAGCAUCAGGUAACAUCAAAUCGUACCCCAAACCGACACAGGUGGUCAGGUAGAGAAUACCAAGGCGCUUGAGAGAACUCGGGUGAAGGAACUAGGCAAAAUGGUGCCGUAACUUCGGGAGAAGGCACGCUGAUAUGUAGGUGAAGCGACUUGCUCGUGGAGCUGAAAUCAGUCGAAGAUACCAGCUGGCUGCAACUGUUUAUUAAAAACACAGCACUGUGCAAACACGAAAGUGGACGUAUACGGUGUGACGCCUGCCCGGUGCCGGAAGGUUAAUUGAUGGGGUUAGCGCAAGCGAAGCUCUUGAUCGAAGCCCCGGUAAACGGCGGCCGUAACUAUAACGGUCCUAAGGUAGCGAAAUUCCUUGUCGGGUAAGUUCCGACCUGCACGAAUGGCGUAAUGAUGGCCAGGCUGUCUCCACCCGAGACUCAGUGAAAUUGAACUCGCUGUGAAGAUGCAGUGUACCCGCGGCAAGACGGAAAGACCCCGUGAACCUUUACUAUAGCUUGACACUGAACAUUGAGCCUUGAUGUGUAGGAUAGGUGGGAGGCUUUGAAGUGUGGACGCCAGUCUGCAUGGAGCCGACCUUGAAAUACCACCCUUUAAUGUUUGAUGUUCUAACGUUGACCCGUAAUCCGGGUUGCGGACAGUGUCUGGUGGGUAGUUUGACUGGGG